GUGAGGAAUAUUGGUCAAUGGGCGAGAGCCUGAACCAGCCAAGUAGCGUGCAGGAUGACGGCCCUAUGGGUUGUAAACUGCUUUUAUGCGGGGAUAAAGUGCGCGACGUGUCGUGCAUUGCAGGUACCGCAUGAAUAAGGACCGGCUAAUUCCGUGCCAGCAGCCGCGGUAAUACGGAAGGUCCGGGCGUUAUCCGGAUUUAUUGGGUUUAAAGGGAGCGUAGGCCGCCAGGUAAGCGUGUUGUGAAAUGUACCGGCUCAACCGGUGAAUUGCAGCGCGAACUGUCUGGCUUGAGUGCACGGUAAGCAGGCGGAAUUCAUGGUGUAGCGGUGAAAUGCUUAGAUAUCAUGAAGAACUCCGAUUGCGAAGGCAGCUUGCUGCAGUGCGACUGACGCUGAUGCUCGAAGGUGCGGGUAUCAAACAGGA
rnacentral:rRNA from 1 species